GUCCUUCCAUUCCUCUUUCCUUUAAUAUAAACUUCUUGAGCUAGAGUGUAUGUAAGAAGACAGUUUCUAACUGAAGCAGGAACCCCCCUUAAUGGCAUGGAUUCAGCUAGCACAUACUUUCUGAGCACUUGCUAGCUACCAGGCAGAGAGGGGGCUGUGACACUGAUGUGCCCUCUGAGAACUCACAGGCCAGAUGAGCAGACUGCUCAGCAGGAGGACCUAUGAAAAGUUAAGCAAUACGUGAAAAAUAAUCCGGGCCUCCAUCUCUAUCUG